rnacentral:rRNA from 1 species
CACGUAGGGCGCAAGCGUUGUCCGGAAUUAUUGGGCGUAAAGAGCUCGUAGGCGGUCUGUUGCGUCCGCUGUGAAAACACGGGGCUUAACCCCGUGCCUGCUUCCGAUACGGGCAGACUAGAGGUAUGCAGGGGAGAACGGAAUUCCUAGUGUAGCGGUGAAAUGCGUAGAUAUCAGGAGGAACACCGGUGGCGAAGGCGCACAUCUGGCCCGAUACUGACGCUGAGGCGCGAAAGCUAGGGGAGCAAACGGG